AAUGAACGCUGGCGGCGUGCCUAACACAUGCAAGUCGAGCGAACGCACGAGACGUUUGCUUCUCUGAUGUUAGCGGCGGAGGGGUGAGUAACAUGUCGAUGACAUACCUAUAAGAAUGGGAUAACUUAGGGAAACCGGAGCUUAUACCGGAAAAUCUUUUGAACCGCAUUGUUCAAGAGUGAAAGACGGUCUUGCUGUCGCUUAUAGAUGGAUCCGCGAUGCAUUAGCUAGUUGGUAAGGUAACGGCUUACCAAGGCCACGAUGCAUAGCCGACCUGAGAGGGUGAUCGGCCACACUGGAACUGAGACACGGUCCAGACUCCUACGGGAGGCAGCAGUAGGGAAUCUUGCGCAAUGGGCGAAAGCCUGACGGAGCAACGCCGCGUGAAUGAUGAAGGACUUCGGAUCGUAAAGCUCUGUUAGUAGGGAAGAAGAGAUGUAUAUUCAACUGUGCACAUCUUGACGGUACCUGAAGAAAAAGCCACGGCUAACUACGUG
rnacentral:rRNA from 1 species